AGAGUUUGAUCAUGGCUCAGGAUGAACGCUGGCGGCGUGCCUAACACAUGCAAGUCGAGCGAGAAGUCAUGGAUGGAAUCUUCGGAGGAAAGAAAUGAUGGAAAGCGGCGGACGGGUGAGUAACGCGUAGGUAACCUGCCCCAUACAGAGGGAUAGCCACUGGAAACGGUGAUUAAUACCUCAUGACACUUUCUCUUCGCAUGGAGGGAAGGUCAAAGAUUUAUCGGUAUGGGAUGGACCUGCGUCUGAUUAGCUUGUUGGUGGGGUAACGGCCUACCAAGGCGACGAUCAGUAGCCGACCUGAGAGGGUGAUCGGCCACAUUGGAACUGAGACACGGUCCAAACUCCUACGGGAGGCAGCAGUGGGGAAUAUUGCACAAUGGGGGAAACCCUGAUGCAGCAACGCCGCGUGAAGGAAGAAGGCCUUUGGGUCGUAAACUUCUGUUCUGAGGGAAGAAGAAAGUGACGGUACCUCAGGAGAAAGCCCCGGCUAACUACGUGCCAGCAGCCGCGGUAAUACGUAGGGGGCAAGCGUUGUCCGGAAUUAUUGGGCGUAAAGAGUACGUAGGCGGUUUGCUAAGCGCAAGGUGAAAGGCAGUGGCUUAACCAUUGUAAGCCUUGCGAACUGACAGACUUGAGUGCAGGAGAGGAAAGCGGAAUUCCUAGUGUAGCGGUGAAAUGCGUAGAUAUUAGGAGGAACACCGGUGGCGAAGGCGGCUUUCUGGACUGUAACUGACGCUGAGGUACGAAAGCGUGGGGAGCAAACAGGAUUAGAUACCCUGGUAGUCCACGCCGUAAACGAUGAGCACUAGGUGUCGGGAUCGUAGGAUUUCGGUGCCGCAGUUAACGCAUUAAGUGCUCCG
rnacentral:rRNA from 1 species